rnacentral:sRNA from 1 species
AAUUUACUACUAAUAAAAGAAACUCUUUGAGGCCUCUCAAGAUGUCCACCUCAGCUUUUAAACAAUGUGUUCUCAAGUUGCCGGAUCAUCAACUCUCAAAACUUCUCUCACUCACAAUUCUAUGCAAUCCACGUCACAAUUUUUUUUCUCUUUUUAACAUUUCAUAUUAUCUUAUCUUUCUUCCGUCUAAUCAUUCAACACCAUUUCAAUUUUAACUUUUACAAUAGUUUUGUUUAAUAAAAUUCAUCACCAAACCCUAAGAAUUUUACUUCAUAUUAUUUUUUUCUUUUUCUAAUUUUUUAU